GACGAACGCUGGCGGCGUGCUUAACACAUGCAAGUCGAACGGAAAGGCCUCUUUCGGGGGGUACUCGAGUGGCGAACGGGUGAGUAACACGUGAGUAACCUGCCCUUGACUUUGGGAUAACUUAAGGCAACUGGGGCUAAUACCGGAUAGGAGCUCCUGCUGCAUGGUGGGGGUUGGAAAGUUUCGGCGGGUGGGGAUGGACUCGCGGCGUAUCAGCUUGUUGGUGGGGUAGUGGCUUACCAAGGGGUUGACGGGUAGCCGGCCUGAGAGGGUGAUCGGCCAUAUUGGCACUGAGAUACGGCCCAGACACCUACGGGAGGCAGCAGUGGGGAAUAUUGCACAAUGGGUGGAAGCUGGAUGCAGCAACGCCGUGGGCGGGAGGACGGCCUUCUGGUUGUAAACCGCUUUCGCUCAUGACGAAGCUUUGUGUGACGGUAGUGGGUAAAGAAGCACCGGCUAACUACGUG
rnacentral:rRNA from 1 species